AACGAACGCUGGCGGCAUGCCUAACACAUGCAAGUCGAACGAGACCUUCGGGUCUAUUGGCGCACGGGUGCGUAACGCGUGGGAACCUGCCCUUAGGUUCGGAAUAACUCCCCGAAAGGGGUGCUAAUACCGGAUAAUGUCCUCGGACCAAAGAUUUAUCGCCUUUGGAUGGGCCCGCGUUGGAUUAGCUAGUUGGUAGGGUAAAAGCCUGCCAAGGCGACGAUCCAUAGCUGGUCUGAGAGGAUGAUCAGCCACACUGGGACUGAGACACGGCCCAGACUCCUACGGGAGGCAGCAGUGGGGAAUAGUGGACAAUGGGCGAAAGCCUGAUCCAGCAAUGCCGCGUGAGUGAUGAAGGCCUUAGGGUUGUAAAGCUCUUUUACCCGGGAUGAUAAUGACAGUACCGGGAGAAUAAGCUCCGGCUAACUCCGUG
rnacentral:rRNA from 1 species